rnacentral:rRNA from 1 species
GACGUAGGGCGCGAGCGUUGUCCGGAUGUAUUGGGCGUAAAGAGCUCGUAGGCGGCUUGUCGCGUCGGCUGUGAAAACCCGCGGCUCAACUGUGGGCGGGCAGCUGAUACGGGCAGGCUGGAGUUCGGUAGGGGAGACUGGAAUUCCUGGUGUAGCGGUGAAAUGCGCAGAUAUCAGGAGGAACACCAGUUGCGAAGGCGGCUCACUGGCUCGAUACUGACGCUGAGGUGCGAAAGCGUGGUGAGCAAACAGG